rnacentral:rRNA from 1 species
AGUGAACGCUGGCGGCGUGCCUAAUACAUGCAAGUCGAACGAAUUGGCGCGCGGGUGUGUAAUAUAUAGUUAAUCUGCCCUACACAGAGGAGCAACAGUUGGAAACGCCUGCUAAUACACCAUAGUGUAGGCUGAGAAUAUAUCGUAUCAGCUAGUUGGUAAGGUAAUGGCUUACCAAGGCUAUGACGCGUAACUGGUCUGAGAGGAUGAUCAGUCACCUUGGAAGUGAGACACGGUCCAAGAUCCUACGGGAGGCAGCAGUAAGGAAUAGUGCGCAAUGGGGGAGACCCUGACGCAGCAUCGCCGCGUGGAGGAUGACACUUAUCGGAGCGCAAACGCCUUUUAUCAGGAAAGCGGUACCUGAUGAAUAAGCACCGGCUAACUCCGUGCCAGCCGCCGCGGUAAUAC